ACAUCAAUAUAAUCAGAGAGUUUAAGUUUAAUCUUGCUCCAACACUAGUAAAGAGCUAGGAGCUCUGUAUGAGCAACACUAAAUCUAUGCUCAUGCAUCUCCACAGUUCCAAACAUCCAAAAGUUCAUCAUAGAUGCAUUAUUUAUACUUGAUCAUUAUCCAUGUAACCACUCCAGGGAACCCAACUAUAUGAUCCAAAGGCCAGUGGAUGGCGAGAUCUGGACAUGCUUGAUGCUAUGCAGGUACUACAAGCAACCUUUAACACAGAGCUAGAUGUUUCAGGCUUUUCACUGUGCCUUUUUUUUAUUUUUAGUUUGUCUCUCCUAUUCUCUUUUAUGGUCGCAUCUAUCCUCAAGUUCUUGGAAGUAGUCUUUUCACUUGGUUACUUAAUUCAUCAUCUUUUAGAUCUUCGGGAGAGCUCGAAGACCACAAUUUUACUAGGCAUUAUCAUAACAUCACAUGAUAAGUUAUCCUACUAUUUACUACUGCUGACAAGUCGGCUUCCAGUAGAAAGUCAGUUUAUUAGCUCGUUUGAAAGACAACUUAAACCCAGAGGUGGCACUGGGUACUGUUACAACGUCAAGGAAGCUUGUGCCUGGCUGGGAUAUACAUAUCGUUUCAUAAGGAUGAAGUCAUCUGAAGGAUGAGGCCAUGGCAGAUCCUUCUUUGAUUUCAAAGCAAAGAUCUCUUGUAACAGAUGCUGCUUGUUGUUGGGUUUCACUGGGCCCAACAAAAUGAGGUAUCCCUUAACCAUUUAAGGGAUGAUCUUAACACAUGCCUUGUUAGGUUAUAAAGAAAGCAUCCGGAUAUGUUUUGUCUCCGCGGGUUAUCUUCUCAAGUUGUGAGAAAGAAAGGAGGUAGAGAGAGAGUGGGAGAGAAAGAGAGGUAAAAACAUCAUUAGAGGUGAUUUUUUGGUGAGAUCUUGAAGUUAAUCUUCGAAGAAGAAGAAAGGUGAAAAAUCUAGGAUUUAUUCAAAAUCCUAAUAGUAAUAGUAAGUAUCUCUUACUCUUUCUAUUCUCAAAUUGAUAGUGAAUCUCAUCUUAUUGAUGAAUGAAUUGUUGAUCCAUCCUUAUAGGUGAGUGUAAUUUAGGCAAACUAUGAUCCAAGUGCAAUAAGCACCUUGAAGAAGAGUGUAUCCCCAAAUUGGGAGAAUUGUGUGUAACCCAUUGUUUGUUUAUAGUGGAAGAUUUGCGCGUGAUUUUUACCCUUCAGCUUGGAGGGGUUUUCCCAU